rnacentral:rRNA from 1 species
UACGUAGGUGGCAAGCGUUGUCCGGAUUUACUGGGCGUAAAGAGCGCGCAGGCGGUCGUUCAAGUCGCGUGUGAAAGCCCCCGGCUCAACUGGGGAGGGUCACGCGAUACUGAUCGACUCGAAGGCAGGAGAGGGUAGUGGAAUUCCCGGUGUAGUGGUGAAAUGCGUAGAUAUCAGGAGGAACACCAAUGGCGAAGGCAGCACUCUGGGACGUGACUGACGCUGAGACGCGAAAGCGUGGGGAGCAAACAGG